UGUGGGUUUUGUAAUUUGGGGGUUUUUAAUUGAGAGACCCAGAAUUUCAUAUCGAAGACCAGCUAGAACACGAGCUCGGCUCUCCUCUCUCUCUCUCUCUCUCUCUCUCGCAGCCCCCAAACACCGAUCUUUCUCAAUUUUAGACUCCGCCUUCUUAUUCUCUCUUCUCUCUCUCAUAACUCUCGAAAACCCAGACCCCAAACACCGAAAUCCGAAUUUCAACUCCUUCGUCAUCUGGAUCCUUCUCAAUCCCGCUCCAUUCCUUUUUAAUCCCUAGCCCAAAACCUCAAUACCCAAAACAAAAACCCUAACUCAGCCCCAUAUAUCUCCCAUCUUGUAUUUCUUUAGAAUUUGGCUUUAUCAGUUCAUGUUCUCUGUUUGUGAAUUUGAAGACUUGGUUAAUUGAGGUCUGACUCCAUUUCAUGACAGAUUACCGGAGAAGUAGAUCAAAUCUUGGUUUGCAAAUCCCCAAUCUGAGCAUGAUUCUUAACAUUCUCGCCACUCUGGUUUGCCUUGUUUUGGACAGUUUUCGAAAUGUGAUUCUGUUAAGGUUUUCGAUGGGUGCUAGGUUCAGACAAUUUUCAGGUUAUCAAAACCCUUUGAGUAUAUUUGGUUUUGGGUAUACUGUAUUUUAAGAUUUCAAAAUUAUCUGGGCUACAUUUGAUGUGGGAAACCCCAAAUGAUUAGUUUUGGGCAACAAAGGACCCUCCACUUCUCUGUGUAUGUUUCCCCUUCCCUAGUGGUCUAUCUCAAUGUGAGUGAGGUGAACAUCUCAUAUUAUUGCUUUAGCUUCAGCAUUCUUUGUUCAUACAAUAUAUAUCUGCAAUUUGAAGCCAAUUAACUUCAAGCAAAACCAUGAUUGCAGUAGAUUGGACGUUGGUUUACAAUUGGUUUCAUCAAAUUUUUUUCGAAUAACACAUGUUAAGACUGCAUGUUUUCUUUGUAAAUUUUUCUUCGGGUUUUUGUUGGAAUAGAACAUAUUAAGACUACAAGUAUUAGGAUUAAAAGUGUUUAUCUUUGAAAAUUGAUGGUCAGGAAUUCAGAAGCUUAUAAGAAUUCAAGCUGCAAAUAAGGAAAGGAUAUGUACCUAUUCAUGUAAUUCAAAGCUGAAUAUGUACCUAUUCACUAUAGUAUCAGUGCUUAUUGUCAUUUACUGUUCAGUGAGUGGCUAAAGGAUAGGAUGAUAUUCAACUUGAUUGAAUUUACAUGAGAAACAUAAGAUAGGUGCUAUUGUGGCAAAAAGCUAACACUUUUUGGGUUACACAGCGCAUGACUGUGCUAGCAGCUUUAAGCUUUUUACAGGUAUAAACUUGGUUAAUAUCUGUCUAAAUUUGGUUUAAAAAUUUAUCUUUGAUUAGAUAGUUGAUAUUGAAGGAUGGUUUUUCAAGAUAUACAAUACUAGUAUUUAACCGAUUCACUCAUCUCUGCAUUAUCAUAUGCAGGUUCUUACCAAGGGUUAACAGAAGGAUCGAUGUACUUAAAGCUGCUGGUGCAUUGUUAGUUUUGUGUGUUUUUUUUUUUGGUUGAAAAAUACAAGGCUGCUAAUCAACAGACAAUAUUUACAUUGGAAGAGGUAUGUUUAGAGUCUCGCUACAUUACCUGUGUAUAGAUGCCUAUCCUUUCCUGCAUUCACGUGAAUUAUGUUUCAAUUGAAACAAGCCAUUUUGGUUUAUGUUGUUGUCUUAGUUGCUGGAAUGAGACCAUAUAUAAUAUUGAUUCCUUAGGACAGAUGAAGCGCUACAUAUCCAUGUCACUUUCCUUUUUUCGUCUAAUAAUUGGAUGGCUAUGACAAUUACAAUGGUGCUAGAGUGAACUUAGAAUAUUGGCCCAAGAUAUGAUAUGCCAGAUCAAAAUAAUUCAAUUCCCUCUCAGGUGAUUUCUGCAAAAUAUAGUGCUCUGUUGUCAUUGUUAAUCAAAUAUUGAUUCUGUAUAUGCUUGUACUGGAGGUAGAUACUUAUGCUUCUAAUACAAGUCUGCUUCUUCUUAUGUGCCGCCUGAAGUGGCAUGCUUUAGUUGGAGGCAACUUACAUACUAAAGAAUCAAUUACUUGGUAGUUUUACAUCUGUACAUGAGAGGAGGAGGUUGUUGAUCAAUUGGGAACUAGCAGUUCUUCAAGACUUAGUUGGUUUCAACAUUUCAGUAAAUGUUGUUAGAGAACUAGUUCUGUUGAUGUAAUGACUUUGUCGGAUAUAUGGAUGAAUGUAUCGGAUUUUUACAUAAA